UACAGAGGGGACAAGCGUUGUUCGGAAUUACUGGGCGUAAAGGGCGCGUAGGCGGCCUUCUAAGUCGAACGUGAAAUCCCCGGGCUCAACCCGGGAACUGCGUCCGAUACUGGAAGGCUUGAAUCCGGGAGAGGGAUGCGGAAUUCCAGGUGUAGCGGUGAAAUGCGUAGAUAUCUGGAGGAACACCGGUGGCGAAGGCGGCAUCCUGGACCGGCAUUGACGCUGCGGCGCGAAAGCCAGGGGAGCAAACGGG
rnacentral:rRNA from 1 species